rnacentral:rRNA from 1 species
UAGGGAAUCUUCGGCAAUGGACGAAAGUCUGACCGAGCAACGCCGCGUGAGUGAAGAAGGUUUUCGGAUCGUAAAACUCUGUUGUUAGAGAAGAAUGUUUAUUAUAGUGGAAAAUUAAUCAAGUGACGGUAUCUAACCAGAAAGGGACUGCUAACUACGUGCCAGCAGCCGCGGUAAUACGUAGGUCCCGAGCGUUGUCCGGAUUUAUUGGUCGUAAAGCGAGCGCAGGUGGUUUAAUAAGUCUGAUGUAAAAGGCAGUGGCUCAACCAUUGGGUGCAUUGGAAACUGUAAGACUAGAGUGCAGUAGAGGAGAGUGGAAUUCCAGGUGUGGCGGUGAAAGGCGUAGAUAUAUGGAGGAACACCGGUGGCGAAAGCGGAUCUCUGGACUGUCACUGACACUGAGGCUCGAAAGCGGGGGUAACAAACA